rnacentral:pre_miRNA from 14 species
GACCUGGAUUCAAACCUGAGCUGCACAGUAUUAAUGCUAAUCGUGAUAGGGGUUUUUUAAUACAUAUUGACUCCUACAUGUUAGCAUUAUUAUCAUGUGGUUUCACUUUCCAAGGAAAACCA